UACAGAGGGUGCGAGCGUUAAUCGGAAUUACUGGGCGUAAAGCGCACGUAGGCGGCUUGGUAUGUCGGGUGUGAAAUCCCCGGGCUCAACCUGGGAACUGCAUCCGAAACUGCCUUGCUCGAGUAUGGGAGAGGGAAGUGGAAUUUCCGGUGUAGCGGUGAAAUGCGUAGAUAUCGGAAGGAACAUCAGUGGCGAAGGCGACGUCCUGGACCAAUACUGACGCUCAGGUGCGAAAGCGUGGGGAGCAAACAGG
rnacentral:rRNA from 1 species